rnacentral:tRNA from 1 species
GCCUUUUUAGCUCAGUGGUAGAGCACUGUAUUUGUAAUGCGGUGGUCGUCGGUUCGAAUCCGACAAAAGGCU